rnacentral:rRNA from 1 species
GACGAACGCUGGCGGCGUGCCUAAUACAUGCAAGUUGAGCGCUGAAGGUUGGUACUUGUACCAACUGGAUGAGCAGCGAACGGGUGAGUAACGCGUGGGGAAUCUGCCUUUGAGCGGGGGACAACAUUUGGAGACGAAUGCUAAUACCGCAUAAAAACUUUAAACACAAGUUUUAAGUUUGAAAGAUGCAAUUGCAUCACUCAAAGAUGAUCCCGCGUUGUAUUAGCUAGUUGGUGAGGUAAAGGCUCACCAAGGCGAUGAUACAUAGCCGACCUGAGAGGGUGAUCGGCCACAUUGGGACUGAGACACGGCCCAAACGCCUACGGGAGGCAGCAGUAGGGGAUCUUCGGCAAUAGACGAAAGUCUGACCGAGCAACGCCGCGUGAGUGAAGAAGGUUUUCGGAUCGUAAAACUCUGUUGGUAGAGAAGAACGUUGGUGAGAGUGGAAAGCUCAUCAAGUGACGGUAACUACCCAGAAAGGGACGGCUAACUACGUG